rnacentral:rRNA from 1 species
AGAGUUUGAUCAUGGCUCAGGAUGAACGCUGGCGGUAUGCCUAACACAUGCAAGUCGAACGAUGUCUUCGGACAUAGUGGCGGACGGGUGAGUAACGCGUGAGAAUCUGCCUCUAGGAUGGGGAUAACGGUUGGAAACGACCGCUAACACCCAAUAUGCCGUAAGGUGAAAAAUUUAUUGCCUGGAGAGGAGCUCGCGUCUGAUUAGCUAGUUGGUGGGGUAAGAGCUCACCAAGGCUUCGAUCAGUAGCUGGUCUGAGAGGAUGAGCAGCCACACUGGGACUGAGACACGGCCCAGACUCCUACGGGAGGCAGCAGUGGGGAAUUUUCCGCAAUGGGCGAAAGCCUGACGGAGCAAUACCGCGUGAGGGAGGAAUGCCUUUGGGUUGUAAACCUCUUUUCUCAGGGAAGAAGAUCUGACGGUACCUGAGGAAUAAGUAUCGGCUAACUCCGUGCCAGCAGCCGCGGUAAUACGGAGGAUGCAAGCGUUAUCCGGAAUCAUUGGGCGUAAAGCGUCCGCAGGUGGUUUCCAAAGUCUGCUGUUAAAGACUGGAGCUCAACUCCGGAACGGCGGUGGAAACUUGGAAACUAGAGUUCGGUAGGGGUAGCAGGAAUUCCCAGUGUAGCGGUGAAAUGCGUAGAUAUUGGGAAGAACAUCGGUGGCGAANGCGUGCUACUGGACCGUAACUGACACUCGGGGACGAAAGCUAGGGGAGCGAAAGGGAUUAGAUACCCCUGUAGUCCUAGCUGUAAACGAUGGAAACUAGGUGUGG